rnacentral:rRNA from 1 species
AUUGAACGCUGGCGGCAGGCCUAACACAUGCAAGUCGAACGGUAACAGGAAGCAGCUUGCUGCUUCGCUGACGAGUGGCGGACGGGUGAGUAAUGUCUGGGAAGCUGCCUGAUGGAGGGGGAUAACUACUGGAAACGGUAGCUAAUACCGCAUAAUGUCGCAAGACCAAAGAGGGGGACCUUCGGGCCUCUUGCCAUCGGAUGUGCCCAGAUGGGAUUAGCUUGUUGGUGGGGUAACGGCUCACCAAGGCGACGAUCCCUAGCUGGUCUGAGAGGAUGACCAGCCACACUGGAACUGAGACACGGUACAGACUCCUAAGGGAGGCAGCAGUGGGGAAUAUUGCACAAGGGGCGCAAGCCUGAUGCAGCCAUGCCGCGUGUAUGAAGAAGGCCUUCGGGUUGUAAAGUACUUUCAGCGGGGAGGAAGGGAGUAAAGUUAAUACCUUUGCUCAUUGACGUUACCCGCAGAAGAAGCACCGGCUAACUCCGUG